AGUAGCAAGAAGCCUUCCACUCCAUCUCUUUUCUCUCCAUCCUCAAUUGAAGCUUGAAAGCUUAAAGAGGCUAGAAGCAAUACAAGCUAUUGAAAGAGAUCAAUGAGAGGCAGGUUUAUUCUAAGAUAUCUACUCUAGCUAAUAAUCUUGAUAUAUGAUGUGCUCUUUGUUAGUUGAGCAUAUAUGCAUAUACUCAGAUUGAGAUGCUGGCUGGUUACUUGAUUUGCUCAACGGGAAUAGAUAACCAUUAAAGGUUAUUUAUGAGAUAAGGUGACUGAACAGCAGUGAUGACUUUGAAUGAUUAUGUCCUUCAUGGUUUCUUAUAUGAUUAUAUUUCAUUGAACUGGCAAUAAAUGGAUGUGGUGGGUAUGCUAAGAAACGGAAUGGGGCGCAAGUUGCUCUUGAGUUGUGUAUCGACUUUAAACCUCUGGAAGGCUACUAAUCGCUGUAUGCGAUGGUUUCAAGGAUUAAAGAUGUGAAUACAUGUUAUAAUGAGGUGCAGUUGCAUAUACUGCGUGUUCACAGAAGAUUACUCUUAUUGGGGUGUGAGUAGCAUCAUGAGUUUGGAUACAUGCUCGGUCUAAAUGAUGACCCGUUAUCUUAUAGACAUCGAUAUGGAUAGACUGGUGAAUGUGGAGACGUACUUAACAUCAUUAGUUUUACCGUUAAAGUAUUAGGCUUGUUAUGAUGUGAUUUGAUAUUCUCGGUGCCACUAUAUGUUUGAAAUAUCAUGAUUUGAUUAUCCUUGUUUUGGAAGAGUGUUAGAUAGAGUAUGUAUUUUAGCUUAAACCUAUUGGGCUUUAGCUCACCAAAAUACAUUUCAGGGGAUCGAGUCGAGAAAGACGAGACGAAUCGGAUUUCAUGGAUGUUGCCCCGGGUAUAAUAAUCGAGCCCGGAAAUGGCUAGACCAACCCAACCCACCGCUCAUCAUACAGCUUGUUGGUGUCUCGACACUAUAUAUAUUUAGUAUUCUAAAUAAUUUUAAAUCUUCUCGUACUUACAACACUUUGAAUUGAAGAGAUUAAGUGCGCAUAAGAAAUUCCAUUGGCGAAGAGUUAUUUGGAGAUAAAAUUAUGUUCCAAUGCAUUGAACUCCCUUUCUGUUACCAAAAAAUACGCCCUGUAAUGUGAACAAAAUCAAAAUUUAAAAGUUUGUCA